CCAUCUCUCCCACACCUGCUGACUGAUGAAUUCCUGUGUGUUUUGUAUCCAUGACCCAAAUCAGGUAAAAGCUGCAUAGAGAAAUGGGAGGCGGUGAGCACAAGGAUCAUGUGACGCCCUGCUGUGGGUGUGGGACCUGCGGCCUCAGGGGCAUGCGGGCUGGCAGCCGCUGUCUCCAUGCCGGAGUCCUGUUGAGAAGGCCGGCUGAGCUCCUGCGUGUCUGGCAUCUGGCUCAGCAGAAGGGAUUUCCGUGUCUGCUUGCAGGCCAGGGCCCAGUCUGGCUCUGGAUGGAACGCUGGCCUUGCACAAAGGAAGGGAGCCACAGAAGGCAGGAUUCAGUAGCUGAGUCCCCCAGGGAUGGAAGACACAGGACGUGGAAUGCAGGUGUCCUCUGAGCAGGGGCAGGGAACACGGAAGAGGGUGGUCUCAGGCUAUGCAGAAAGAAAGGUGGCAGCAGCUGCCCUUAGGCUUUCUGGGUGAAGCCCUUGGCUUUAGAAAGACCCAUCUCUUGAGGGGCAUUUGGGGUGAGGCAGGGUGGAGAGGCCUUGGAGUAAUGAUGUCAGGGCAUGUGAAGGAAGAGAAGUGGUCCUCUGUGCUGGGUUUUGGCAGAGAAGACUUGGAAAGGAUUUGAGUUAAUACAUUUUAAACAAUGAGUUUUCAAAGGUUGUUCCAGGCAGUCUCUGUAGAAGCCUCUCGCGGGAGGAAGACAUCUCCAACCACAUUUCAGGAGCCAGCCCUGCAGCUUUAUCCAUGCCAACAGCUGAAAACAGCACCAAGCAGCAAAUGUGCAAAGAAGUGUGUGGAGAUGCUGUGGGGAUUCAGACCUUCAACCUUGCCCUCCAGGAGAUGACCACACUGGAAAGUUCUACUCCACCGAGCUUUUGUAGGCAUUGUCAGAGAGCAGAGCGGUUCCACACCCUGCAUUGCAAUGGGGACUUAAUGCAGUGGCUGUGACUGUUCCCUCCACUGGGGAGCUCAGCGCAGAACUCCCUGCUACAAGGCUCUGUCUCUAAGCACCCGCCUCCCUGGAACAAGUCAUCACAACCAAGAGAGCUUGCAACCAAGACUACACAGCCCUCCUCCUUGUAAGGAAAAAAAGUGACAGGUAUUAAAUGGUGGCUAUUUGAGGAAAUAAUAAUAAAUAUAUUUGGCAGAGUGAGGCUGGUGGCUGCUUGAGUCUCGAUGGCUGAGACUCUGUCAGCCUUCCCAUUAUGAAACCCAUUUUUCAGCGUUUAUAACUUGAAAGUAAAAAUGUGCUCCAGGCAGAAGAAACCUGGCACACAAGGUCUUUGUCCAGAAAGAGGGAACUGAACAGAUUAGUUCAGAUCAAUUUGAGAGUGUAAAGAAAAACUGUCCUGAGUAUGCAGAUGGGUCUGGCACUG
rnacentral:lncRNA from 1 species